GCGGUGGUAGUUCAGUUGGUAGAACGUCUCGUUGCCAACGAGAAGGUCGAGGGUUCGAGUCCCUUCCGCCGCUCUA
rnacentral:tRNA from 1 species